GUGUUGCUUAGUUUGUAGUAGGUUGUGUUUAUUUAUUAAAACACUCACUCCCUGAACUUGCUUCCCGACUCUCAGAGCACAUCGUUACAAUAUUCAGAUGGGACAGGUAUAUUACGAUAUGCAAGACCUUCCCUUAUGAACCUAGCACACCCACCACCCUGUCCAGUUGACCGAUCUGAUUGAGCAAUAACCAGGAAUAAUAAAAUCAAGAAGUGGUCUAAGCCAUGUUUCUUGAACACAUAUCACGUCAAGUUUGAUCUCUAAAUCAAUUACAUAUUAAACUUCUGACCGUUAGCAAUAAGUCUACUGGCAUUCCACGGAAGGAUAACAAAAACCAAAGCUCUUGUCAUCAUACUGAGACAAUCCAUAAUUAGUAUUAUUUGGAGUCAACAUAUCAACAAUCUUGGUGACAGUAACAUCUGCCAAAUUCUGCACUGCCUACAAACUCUGUUGCUGCUUCCACAAUGAUUAUCAAAUUGGCAGUUAGUUUUUCCACAAACACAGUCAGGUUGAUAACCAUUCCAAUGAAGGCUAUGAAGUCAAUAAGAUGACCUAUUAAGGUGUCUUUUGACAUGACACAUUUGUUAGAGCAAGAUUUCUGAACAGGUAUCGUAUCUGUGUCUAGACCUAAGCAACAUUUUCUACAGUAGUUUCACUUAUUCCAGGAGACUAUUAUCUCCAUCAUUCUGCCUAUUAUGCUCCCCAGUUUCUGUGUUGUUUUGGGUUUGUAUGUGUUUAUUUCAGGAAAUGGCGUCCUGGAUACAAAGCAGCUGAUUGGUCGGCCCCAUCGAUGAUUGGUGCUCUGAACCCACCCUCUCGUCAGGGGAAACAGCUGUUUUCAAUUACCAACUCCUUCUCCAGCUGGAUAAAAGCCAGUGUUCCUUUGUCAGGAGAAGAUUAAGCUUCUUGGAUGUUCUGUGUUGGUUGUAGGCGAGUGACAGUUUUGUUGAAAGUCUUUUGUAGCCACUACUUCUGAGGGAGGAAGGUGUUAGGCAUCUUGGCAGUGCUUAGGCAAAAGGCCUGUGGACAUAUAUAACCUGUAGUAUUUACUGUCUAUGCACAGUAGGUAAGACCUGGGCAGACCACCCCCUGUAUUUCGGUUAGCGUGCCAGGAGGUGCUAAAAGGUUAGCACAGAUCAUCCAGGUCCACGACGUUCAUCAUCUCCAUCCAUGUCGACCAGUCUAGCACAGCUGUUGCUAAAACCACCAACCACAAUUUAGAACGAUGGUCCUCCUGACCUCUCCAGUUCUCUUACUGGCAAGACGAAGAGGCAUUCAGUGUUGUUUUCUAUCAGAAAGGAUACUGGUCAGGUUUAUUCGAUAAAAGCAAUGUCAAAAAAAUAAACAAUCAUUGCGACAUUUGUAAUGAAGGGCAGAUAUAGGAGAAAUGUUUAAGAAACAUUUUUAUUAGUUGGACAGGAUUUUUAUUUUGUCAAACUUUCUUUGUGACAAAUUGAUGGAAACUGAUUUUUGAAUAAAUUAUGAUUUCCAAAUAAGGCACUUCAUGCAGAUUUGUGGACUCGAGUCACAUGACUUGGACUUGAGUCUGACAAGUCACAAAUGUGAUGACUUGAGACUGGACUAUUAGGCUAUCCAUAUAAAUGUACUGUUUAGCAAUCUGCUAUGGCUGCAUCUUUGCCACAACAGGCUACCUGGUAUUUUUAUAUUUCAGGUAGGUCUAGUUUGGUGGGUUAUAAUUUUACCUCAGUUGUGGAACUGCACAUGUCUAAACAUAGCUGUAACAUCACGCUACUUUCAAUACUUAUGGGAUGAAGAUGUAACAAAUUCUGGUGAAUUAAUGAUGAUAUUUGUGAGGAAUAAAAAGACUACAGACAGAACAUGCAAUCUUAUCGACAGGGCUGUAGUGGAACAGGUUGAGAGCUUCAAGUUCCUUGGUGUCCAUCACCAACAAACUAACAUGGUCCAAGCACACCAAGCCAGUCGUGAAAAGGGCACGACAAAACCCAUUCCCCCUCAGGAGGCUGAAAAGAUUUGGCAUGGGUCCUCAGAUCCUCAAAAGUUUAUACUGCUGCACCAUCGAGAGCAUGCUGACGUGUCAGAGGAAGGCCCUAAAAAUGGUCAGACUCCAGCCCCCCUAAUCAUACUAUUCUCUCUGCUAUCGCACGGCAAGCGGUACCAGAGCGUCAAGUCUAGCUCCAAGACACUUCUAAACAUCUUCUACCCGCAAGCCAUAAGACUCCUGAACAUCUAAUCAAAUGGCUACCCAGACUAUUUGCAUUUUUGGCACAACUGCUUGUCUUGUUUUGCACACUUUGUACAAAAUAAUAAAAUGCAGUACUACAGGAUAUUUCUUAACGUAGCUCUUUAUUAGCUAGCUAUAACUGGCAUGUUCACGUAUCGCCAACCAGGAUCAAACUGCCCAUGACCUAACCAUUUGGGUGGUCUUAACCAAUCAUAGCACAGAAUGAUACGGUGGUAAAAUGCAUCCAAUUACAAUUCAGUAUGUUUACACGUGAAUAUUACAUCCCCCUUCUUUUAAAACAAAAGAAAUGUUUACAUAUUCUAAGGGUUUCUUUUGAUACAUGCUCUGUAGUUUGAACUCAAGGUAGGUACUCAUUUAUAUUGCAUAAUACACCAACUGAAUCAACAGACUCUGAAACAAUAAUCCAACAUACUGUUACUUUUCAAACAAGGGAUUCUCAGCAACUCAGCUUUCACUGUAGAAAUAACAUCUUCACAUUUCAAACAAAUACAAUACCUAAGCAUUUCAAGUGAACUUUCAAUAACAAGUUUACAGUCUGGAACUCUUUUAGGGCAGCGAUACAGGUCUAGGACAGCUCUGGUCUUGACCUCUCUUCCUGACCUUGUGCAAUAUGAUGCUGAGCAUGCUUCUAUGUCAGUCAACAGUUCUUGUGGUGUUGCAGGUAAGUAUGAUGUAUGUUGUGCUGUGUGUGUGUUGAGUCCAUCACUUUCAGGGGAACAGUUAAUCUCAUCAGUGUGUUGUUAUUUUGUGUUCAGUAGGUGACGCCGAUUGCGGCGGUACACCGCUCCUUCUGCGGUGCGGACGUGAUAUGUAAUGUUCCGUGUCAGCUGGCUGGAUGACGACUGCUGGCUUCCAGUGGCCAUGCUCCUGGAUUCUAACUGACUCUCCGUCGAUCAGUGGUGGCAGUGGUCUAACUGACCUGUCGUAGUAUCGCUUUUGUUGUUGUUGUCUCUGUGCACGUUUUUUAUGCAUUUCCUUGUAGCUGACGACCUCAGGUUGCGGCUGCUGGUUGGUGCUGGGCAGGAUUGAGCGAAUUCUGCGGCUCAUCAACAGCUGGGCUGGUGAUUUGAAGUAGUCAACUGGAGUGUUGCGGUAUUCAAGGAGACUGAGAAAUGGAGUCGAUUUAGCAGACCAGCUCACAGGAAGGACAGGAAGAGGAGAGGAGUUGCCGGGGCCGACCAGCUCACAGGAAGGACAGGAAGAGGAGAAAGGUUGCCGGGGCCGACCAGCUCACAGGAAGGACAGGAAGAGGAGAGGAGUUGCCGGGGCCGACCAGCUCACAGGAAGGACAGAAAGAGGAGAGGAGUUGGGCCUCAUGAGGUUGGGUCUUAAAGGAAAUGCCUCGUCGCCGAUGAAGACAUGGGGAACAGGUCCAGGGUCUUCAGCCCCAGGGAGUGAUGCAGGUGGUGGAAUCUCCAGGGUGCCUGGCUGAAGGCAGAGUCCCGGAGGGUCCCGCCAUCACUUCCCUUGCUGUAAGCACCAACAACAUGGAAACAGUAGAUGGCAUCUACUACAGCCAAGAGUACAACUGAAUAUGUACCCUUGUAGUUGUAGAAUUGCAAACCUGAGCACAGUGGAGCCUGGAUUAGUACAUGUUUCCUGUCAAUAGAGCCAAGACAGUUGGGGAAAUUCCACCUCUCCAGGAUCUCAGCAGCGAUGGUCCUCCAGUCUUCCUCCUUGGGGACAGGCAUGUAUUCACCAACCAGACAGUCCCAAAUGGCUUGUGCCACAGAGGGAACAAUGCCUGCCACCGUGGACCGUCCAACUCGGAAGCUGAAUCCUAUGGUCUUGUAGGAGUCCACUGUCGCCAAGAAUCUGAAAUAAAAUUCUAAAUAAUGAUCAA